UACAGAGGUCCCGAGCGUUGUUCGGAUUCAUUGGGCGUAAAGGGUGCGUAGGCGGUCGGGUAAGUCUGCCGUGAAAUCCCGCAGCUCAACUGCGGAACUGCGUCGGAUACUAUUCGGCUUGAGGAAUGGAGGGGAGACUGGAAUUCUCGGUGUAGCAGUGAAAUGCGUAGAUAUCUGGAGGAACACCGGUGGCGAAGGCGGCAUCCUGGACCGGUAUUGACGCUGAGGCGCGAAAGCCAGGGGAGCAAACGGG
rnacentral:rRNA from 1 species